rnacentral:rRNA from 1 species
GAGAUUCUCCAUGUGACUGGAGUUCAGACGUGUGCUCUUCCGAUCUCCCGCCGCGCGCGGCGGGCGGGGCGGGGGCACGGGGGGAGGAAUUGGCGGGGGAGCACCACAACGGGUGGAGCUUGCGGUUUAAUUGGAUUCAACGCCGGAAAUCUUACCGGGACCGACAGCAAUAUGAAGGCCAGGCUGAAGACUUUGCCGGAUUAGCUGAGAGGUGGUGCAUGGCCGUCGUCAGUUCGUACUGUGAAGCAUCCUGUUAAGUCAGGCAACGAGCGAGACCCACGCCCACAGUUGCCAGCGUACUCUCUGGAGUGACGGGUACACUGUGGGGACCGCCGCUGCUAAAGCGGAGGAAGGAAUGGGCAACGGUAGGUCAGUAUGCCCCGAAUAUCCCGGGCUACACGCGAGCUACAAUGGUUGGUACAAUGGGUAUCUACCCCGAAAGGGGACGGGAAUCUCCUAAAACCAAUCUUAGUUCGGAUUGAGGGCUGCAACUCGCCCUCAUGAAGCUGGAAUCCGUAGUAAUCGCGUUUCAACAGAACGCGGUGAAUACGUCCCUGCUCCUUGCACACACCGCCCGUAGAUCGGAAGAGCGUCGUGUAGGGAAAGAGUGUAGAUCUCGGUGGUCGCCG